ensembl:lincRNA
CACCUCCCUCAGUCCUAAGCAAGCUGAGGCAGUGGGUCGCCCUAGACUGGAGCAACGUGCAUGAUGGUGGGAAGAGCCAGUGACUUUCUUUCAUGUCCUCUCUGCCCUCGACCUCAGGAGUCACCCAGGUGGGCACUGGCAUCCAGGAUGAAAACUUCCCAGCAUCCCUUGCAGCAAGCAAUGGCCACGUGACCAGGCAGUGGCCAAUGCACAUGAGGCCGGUGCACAGCAACUGCUUUUAGAGGAAGGAAGAUUUGUGUCCUCUUGUUCUCUUCUCCCUUCCCUGCUGGCUGGUAGUAGAUAGGAUGGACACUGUGGGGGAAGCUACACCCUAAGGAAGUCAGAGCAGCAAGAUGGAAGUAGCCUAAGACCCUGAAAAAUGCACAGAGAAGAAUCACCCGACUGGCUUGGACUUUCAUGUGAAAGGAAUGAACCUCUGUCUUAGUAAAGCCACCGAGAUUCAGGGUCCUUGUGAUAUUCAUUGAGGCUGUAACAUAAUUGUUGAAAGAAUAGGAGCGGGAGGGGAGAUGGAGUUGGAGAGGCAGGCAGAGGUCAGAUCACAUCAGGCCUGUAGGCCAAGGCGGAGGAAGAAACAGAAGACAUUGCAUUAAAUAGCAAGAUGGCAGAUGAACAUCAGGAAGGAACAUUAGGAACAUCCACAGCGUUCCAUCCAGGAACCUUCACCAUGGAAACCCUUGUGCUCAUGGGCGUGGUCUCAAGACACAGUCAGCUGUUGGGGAUCAGCGGCCACACUCAUCGUAGCAGAGAGGCAGGACCAACUGGGGGAGGGUCCUUCUGUGACACCUACUGCAUCACCGGGCUGUGUGAAGUGACUCAGCUGCCAGAACUCACACAAUAUAAUUCUACACCAAACCUCACGGGAAAAAUGGAGUCUAUAGACAAGGGAAGCAAGAAGUCAAGUUAGGGAGCUGUCAGCAAACCAGGAGAAGGAUGAUGGGGCUCGACCCAAGAUGACAGCGGCAGAGACCAGGAGUUGCAUUCAGAUUCCAGAUGUUUUGGAAGAAAGAACCAACAGGAGCCUCCGACACAUUGAAUUGAACAUGGGAGAAGAAGGAGAAGCAAUGUUAUACUGUCACCUCUUUCUGACUUUAUUGCGAACCUGGUGAACAUGAUGGCCAAUCAAAGACAUUGGAGUGGAUGAGAUGAAGGUUUCACAAAAGUACUAAAGAAAAAGCUAUUGUCUGUGGGCAGAUGACACUAGUCCAGGGAGGGAAAAAACGGUAGCGAGUAGAUGUUCUUUUCCACCAAAAGGUAUCGUGCCUAUCGCGGAAGCUCCUGGUAGACAUUUGCUGGAAACAGCAUAGCCCAGAGACACUGGAAUAAAUUCGAGAUGUCUUGAAACUAUAAUACCCAAAUCUGACUAUCUGUUCAGUGCUGAAAUCUGACUAUCUGUCAUAUUUGGGUAUUAUAGUGUCAUAAGUGAGUGUCAUAAAAUGAGUUAGGAGUGUUUCUUCUGCCUGUAUUUUCUGAAGGUGCUUACGAUCGAUGUUAUUUUUUAAGGAGGGCUGAGAUUGUCAGCCCAACACUUC